rnacentral:rRNA from 1 species
GGGGUGCUCGAGUGGCGAACGGGUGAGUAACACGUGAGUAACCUGCCCUUGACUUUGGGAUAACUUCAGGAAACUGGGGCUAAUACCGGAUAGGAGCUCCUGCUGCAUGGUGGGGGUUGGAAAGUUUCGGCGGUUGGGGGUGGACUCGCGGCUUAUCAGCUUGUUGGUGGGGUAGUGGCUUACCAAGGCUUUGACGGGUAGCCGGCCUGAGAGGGUGACCGGCCACAUUGGGACUGAGAUACGGCCCAG